GAUGAACGCUAGCGGCAGGCCUAAUACAUGCAAGUCGAACGGUAAGGCCCUUUCGGGGGCACACGAGUGGCGGACGGGUGCGUAACGCGUAUGCAACAUGCCUCCAAGCGGGGGAUAUGCCAGGGAAACUUGGUGCAAAACCCCAUAGCAUUCCGGGAUCGCAUGGUCCUGGGAUUAAAUCUCCGGAGCUUGGAGAUUGGCAUGCGUGACAUUAGCUAGUUGGCGGGGUAACGGCCCACCAAGGCGACGAUGUCUAGCUGGUCUGAGAGGAUGAUCAGCCACACUGGGACUGAGACACGGCCCAGACUCCUACGGGAGGCAGCAGUAGGGAAUAUUGGACAAUGGGCGGAAGCCUGAUCCGGCCAUGCCGCGUGAGGGAAGAAGGUCCUCUGGAUUGUAAACCUCUUUUGGCGGGGGACAAACCACCACUACACGUGGUGCUGAGGGUACCCGCAGAAUAAGCACCGGCUAACUCCGUGCCAGCAGCCGCGGUAAUACGGAGGGUGCAAGCGUUGUCCGGAUUCAUUGGGUUUAAAGGGUGCGUAGGCGGCCCCUUAAGUCAGCGGUGAAAUACCACGGCUCAACCGUGGAACUGCCGUUGAUACUGAGGGGCUUGAGUUCGUGCGAGGUCGCUGGAAUGAGUGGUGUAGCGGUGAAAUGCAUAGAUAUCACUCAGAACACCGAUUGCGAAGGCAGGUGACUGGCACGCGACUGACGCUGAGGCACGAAAGUGUG
rnacentral:rRNA from 1 species